rnacentral:rRNA from 1 species
UACAGAGGGUGCAAGCGUUAAUCGGAUUUACUGGGCGUAAAGCGUGUGUAGGUGGUUGGAAAAGUCGGUUGUGAAAUCCCUGGGCUUAACCUGGGAACUGCUUCCGAUACUUUUCAACUAGAAUUCGGUAGAGGGAGGCGGAACUCCAGGUGUAGCGGUGAAAUGCGUAGAUAUCUGGAAGAACACCAAUGGCGAAGGCAACCUCCUGGGCCUGAAUUGACACUGAGACACGAAAGCGUGGGGAUCAAACAGG